GCCUGUGUGAGUGAAUGCGUUUUGUUGUGUAUUAUGGUACAAGGGGGAGUAUUUAGCGUAAGAUGCGGUAAGCAAUGGAAAUAUUUGUGAAAAUAGCAACAACAAAAUAUACAAAAAUAGCGUUUCGAUAACAAAUUCAAAUCGAUAACAAAGUGUGCUGCUAAAAAGGCAAGGCGCGCUGAAGCAAGUGAAACAAAGAGGAAGCGCAAUAGGAGCAGCGAUGUCGACGUCGGCAGCAAAAAGAAAGCCAAAGCGCCGCAAUGUCCAUCGCGCUAGAUGAUGAUAGAUGACAGUUCGUGUGCGCGCUAUCAAAAGAGGGCGGGUUGCGAGGCGGCAAAGUCGAAGUGAAGUCGGUUCGCCGUAAUCUUGACACGCGUCCGUAGGCAAAAGGCAAUAUCAAAUACAACGUAACAAUGCUAACAGUAAGGCAAAUGGCAAAGCCAGUGAAAAAAUACAAUUAGACUCUGCAAGAGCAAACAAAAACAAACGAAAUACACGAACCAAAAAAAAAAAAAAACACAAGCAACAACAAAUUCUACACUGUGGCGGCGCACGGCAACACUGGGCCAAACUGUUUAACGGCAAACGCCAGCGGCGACAGCAGCAGCAGCAAUGAGAAAGAAGAGAGAGAAAAAAUAACAUAAAAACCCAGCUGGAUUAAAUACACUUGCAGAGCGAAUCAACCAAAGCUGCUUAAUGAUUUCGUGACAAAAUUGUAUAGCCCUCGGCAAGGUAUAACAAGACGCCGGGACCUUUACAUGUGCAGCUGUUCACAGUGCUCAGUAUUUAUAGAAGUCUGUCUGCCUUCUACAAUUAGAUGACAAUCAAAUAAUCGUGCGUGCGUGCGUACCUACAUAUGUGAAUUUUGGGAUCUAUGUGGAAUGUGCACUUGCCGGUUGAAAACGGUUCUCAGCUAAAUAAAAUCCAGUUCGACAAUUAAUUCGCAAAUGUGUGUUGUGGAAAAGGUUUCAAAGUUAAAG